GACGAACGCUGGCGGCGUGCCUAAUACAUGCAAGUAGAACGCACAGUUUAUACCGUAGCUUGCUACACCAUAAACUGUGAGUUGCGAACGGGUGAGUAACGCGUAGGUAACCUGCCUGGUAGCGGGGGAUAACUAUUGGAAACGAUAGCUAAUACCGCAUAAUAUUGAUUAUUGCAUGAUAAUUGAUUGAAAGAUGCUAUUGCAUCACUACCAGAUGGACCUGCGUUGUAUUAGCUAGUAGGUGAGGUAACGGCUCACCUAGGCGACGAUACAUAGCCGACCUGAGAGGGUGAUCGGCCACACUGGGACUGAGACCCGGCCCAGACUCCUUCGGGAGGCAGCAGUAGGGAAUCUUCGGCAAGGGACGAAAGUCUGACCGAGCAACGCCGAGUGAGUGAAGAAGGUUGUCGGAUCGGAAAGCUCUGUUGUAAGAGAAGAACGGGUGUGAGAGUGGAAAGUUCACACUGUGACGGUAUCUGACCAGAAAGGGACGGCUAACUACGUG
rnacentral:rRNA from 1 species